GUGACGGUGCGCGGAGGCGGUGGUGGAGUUGCUUCCCCUGCUAGGCGGGCUCGAACCGGGCGGGAGUCACUGUCCACCUUGCUUCGCCAGGGUGUUAUCGCCAGCCAGUCCCCUUCCGCAUGCCCAAGGGCAGCCUCAGGAAGCGAGCCCACCACCGUCGGCCCAGCGCCUGUUGAUCGGCCAGGCCUUCUGGGCCGGUCAUACUGGGCCCUUCCUAACCUGAGGAGAUUGCACAGUAGGGCUCCCUGGUCUGGUCAGGGCUCAGUUAGGACCCCUCUCCAGCCUUAGGCUUGGUGAAAGCUUUAGCGAAACAGAAAAAAGAACGCAUCGUGGUGUAGAGUGUAUGGCCUAAGAAGCAUUCGCUCCACUCAAAAAAAAGAAAGUCCUAAUGCAAGUAAUUGAAAGUGAAGAUAUUGCAAAACAAAUAAUGACAGCUGAAUUGAUGAUAUGAUGACAGGCUCAUCCCUCCAUUGUAAACUAUGUUUCUUCAUCUGUAAAUGAAAGCGUAGGAAGACUUUUAAAAAGUCUUUCCUAUUCCUAUACCCACUAAAACGAACUGAAAGAAGCUAAUUAUAGAAGGAAACUGUCUACAGUGAAACUAAGAAAGGCUCUAACCUCAUGCUACUAACUCAUCAACAUCAUCCACAAAGAUGAUCAUCC
rnacentral:lncRNA from 1 species